rnacentral:rRNA from 1 species
CCUACGGGGGGCUGCAGUAGGGAAUAUUAGAAAUGGACGAAAGUCUGAUCUAGCAACACCGCGUGUGCGAAGAAGGCCUUCGGGUCGUAAAGCACUUUUUGGAAGGAAUAGGAAGGAAUGUACUUCCAGAAUAAGUCUCGGCUAACUACGUGCCAGCAGCCGCGGUAACACGUAGGAGGCAAACGUUAUCCGGAUUUACUGGGCGUAAAGCGCGUGUAGGUGGUACUGUAAGUAGGGCGUGAAAGCUCCUGGCUCAACUGGGAGAGGCCGUUCUA